AGCGGACGCUGGCGGCAGGCUUAACACAUGCAAGUCGAACGCCAUCUUCGGAUGGAGUGGCAGACGGGUGAGUAACGCGUGGGAACGUACCCUUUGGUUCGGAAUAUUCUCGGGAAACUGGGAGCAAUACCGGAUAAGCCCUACGGGGGAAAGAUUUAUCGCCAAAGGAGCGGCCCGCGUCAGAUUAGGUAGUUGGUGGGGUAAAGGCCUACCAAGCCUACGAUCUGUAGCUGGUCUGAGAGGAUGAUCAGCCACACUGGGACUGAGACACGGCCCAGACUCCUACGGGAGGCAGCAGUGGGGAAUCUUGGACAAUGGGCGCAAGCCUGAUCCAGCCAUGCCGCGUGGAUGAUGAAGGCCUUAGGGUUGUAAAAUCCUUUCAACGGGGACGAUAAUGACGGUACCCGUAGAAGAAGACCCCGGCUAACUUCGUG
rnacentral:rRNA from 1 species